rnacentral:rRNA from 1 species
CCUACGGGUGGCAGCAGUGAGGAAUAUUGGUCAAUGAGCGGGAGCCUGAACCAGCCAAGUCGCGUGAAGGAAGAAGGUACUUAGUAUUGUAAACUUCUUUUGUCGGGGAACAAAGGCGGAGACGCGUCUCCGUAUGAGUGUACCCUACGAACAAGCAUCGGCUAACUCCGUGCCAGCAGCCGCGGUAAUACGGAGGAUGCGAGCGUUAUCCGGAUUUAUUGGGUUUAAAGGGUGCGCAGGCGGGAGAUCAAGUCAGCGGUAAAAUGUCGGGGCUCAACCCCGGCCGGCCGUUGAAACUGGUUUGCUAGAGUUGGAGAGAAGUAGGCGGAAUUCGUGGUGUAGCGGUGAAAUGCAUAGAUAUCACGAAGAACUCCGAUUGCGAAGGCAGUUCACUGGACUGCAACUGACACUGAGGCUCGAAAGUGUGGGUAUCAAACAGGAUUAGAUACCCCUGUAGUC